AUGCUAGUGGAUCUGGUGGUGAUGCUGGUGCUGCUGCGACUUCCUGCUCUGUUUGAAGCGUAUGGUUCAAGCUCGGUCUUAAGACAUAUUGGGUCACAGUGCCUUCUUCCAAUCUUUGAAGAUAAGUUGGAAUUCAAGGUAGAAAAUAUUUUGUGGAAUGCCACUUCCUAUAGGUCGUCACAUAAGAUGCAGCAGCAAAAUCAAAACACAGAAGGCAGAAGAUGGCAAGAGAAUUUUCAAGAUAUCAAAAUCAAAAUCAAAACACCAAAUUGUCAGGUUGUCACAUAUUGUCAGGCCCUUUUUUUUGGUCUGGACAGAAGGCAAAAGAGGGCAAGAGAAUUUUUUCAGCCAGUUUGGUUGUUGGGCUGA
rnacentral:rRNA from 1 species